CAUGAAAGUAAAUUAAAAAAAAAAACCUUUCAGUCUGGGAAUUGUGUUGAAAUCCAUAAACAUCUGAAACUUAGUGACUCAGAUUGUUAGUCACAGAGUCACUGGUUAGAAUCUGGAUGAAAUCCACUGUGGACAAAGGCCAGUAAUAAUGAUGAUGAUAUUUUGCUUUUCCAUAGUGCCGAACAAAACUCUUUACAAAUGUUACAAGUACAAAAGAAAGAGUAGCAAGACAUUUUUUCUGCAAGUGCUCAGGCUAAGUAAGACUCUUGCUAACUUUGAAGUAGUUUAUUUUUCCCUCUACAUAAAUACAAAAGAAAUGUAGUGGCAAAUAAUUGCAACAAAACCCAACUUAAGCAAAGGCCUCAUUAGUAUUCAAUUAGCAUAGUAACCCGUCUUUCCCGGUCUCUUGUUUGAAGCAGACUGGAUCCAAUGUGUAGUCUUGGAGUAAAGAAAAUAAUAUCUCCAGAGUAGGUCUUACAAAUAAAGCCAAGGCUACACUCAAUUGUGUUUUGUAUUAUUACACUUUCGUUAGUAAUUCACCUUCCACUGAAGAACACACAGAGGGUAGAUCUAAGUUUGUUCUCUUGCAAUAAUGUCAGACCUGAGGAAUAUCAGCAGUAAGCGCUGGGCAGUUUCAGAGAUAUCCUCCCACUAUCUCCCCUUCUGACCGGAACAGGAAUUGGAUAGCUUCAGAGCAAAAGAAUAAUGUGUCCAUGUGUUCCUCCAGAUCUCUGAGUCCUGGCAGUCGACCUCAACUCUCUUGGCCACCAUAAAGCAGUCAUUGAAAGGACACAGCUGCAGGAACUAGGGACUAAGCAGUAAAUAAAUCCACAGGGCUGGAGGCAGAAGUUACGUACAUGACCCUAAAACAAUACUCUGUGGUUAUGAACAAACUGAUUAGCAUCUGAGGGUCCUGUAGCAGCUUAUGCAAAAUUAAUUGGUGCCUCAGCCAGUGCUGAGUUUCUAAAGGAAAGAUGUCCACUUCAAAAACAAAAACAAAAAAAGGGGGGCCUCCUUAGUCAGCAGCAACUUUGCCUGGUGUCCUGGGGAGACGAUCAGCUAGAAUGGGAAUGGAGCUGUUUAUUCUCUUAGCUGUACAUGGAUUCUCUUCAGAUCAGAGCUGAUGUAUAACAGCCACUGGCAAUAUCCCAAGACAUGAUCCAGUGAUUGCCAGGUUAUGGGUUGCAUCUUAGAGUUAAGGUGAGAGGAGCUUGGGAAAGAGGUUGAGAGAUGUGGCUUGAGAGUGGGAGAGAUGGAGAAAGUAAAAGAAAUUGGACACUGAUCUACAUAGAGCAACACUUCCCUAAUUGGUUUUGGCUCCAACUCAGGCAGACUCAGCUUUAAAACCAGACUCCACCACCUACCACCUGAUUUUGACCGUGAGCAAGUUUCUUACUUUCUUUGCUUUAUUUUUCGUAUCUGUUCAAUGGAGAUCAUGCCAGUUCCUGCUUCUUAGGGUUACUGUGAGGAUUAAAGAAAAUAAUGUAUACAGAGUGCUGAGUACCUAAGGAGUGCUCAAAACCUUUUACCCAAUAUUAAAAUAGAAUUAUUGUAGUGGAAUUCCUGGUCAGUCAGAAGUUCUGUGUUAUUAAUGAUGAACAGGUCAGUUAGCAGUUUUAAAAAAUAAACCUACAAUCUGUAAAAGCUUCAUCAUGUAGAUGAGCUAACACGCUCCCAUGAAAUUAUAUUUAUGUCUUGCGUUAUCAACUCGUUCUAUACAUGUUAUAUCAUAUAUUUAUAUGUGAGUAUGUAAAACAAAAGUAAAUUACAAGAAUAUCUCUGUCUAGUUAGUAUAAAUAGUGAUGGGUUCUGAAUUAAGAGCCCCAUUUUUUAAAUUAUUGCUUUACUAUUUUUAUCUUACAUUAGGAAGAAAAUAUUAGUCUGAUUUGAUGCCCUUAAUGUUUGGAAUAUAAAGGACAACAACACACAUUAACUUCAAAAUCAAUGAAUAUACUUAAAAUAAGCUCUAUAGCAAACAUAACUACAUCACUAAAUCUCAAUAUUUAUAGUUUAUUUCUAAGGAACAAAUGUAAAUGGAUCGAAUUUUAAAAAUCAUUUAAACAUUUUUCUAAGUGUCUGUAAAAAGGAUUAGAAGAAGUGUAACAUACAUGUUGAAAGAUUGUCCCUCAAUGCAGAAGUGGGCAUUGAAUUUGGCACUUGGUUUGAAGCAGUUUUCUCUUUCCAUAGCCAUUGUAUAUGCCAUUCGGUUACUGUGGUCAGUGGUUUUCUUGCCUUAGAACUCACUUUACCUUAGAUUCUCUUCUGCGUCUUAGCUCAGCAAAAUGAUCAUGAUCCUUCUGAACCUAAAGCUCAGGCCAACAUUGUCAUUAUCUCAAUUUGUCUCUUGGCUUGAGAAAGAACUUUCAGAUUCUCUUCAGUUCAUAUCAAACACACAAAGCAAACAACCCUAAAAGUCACACACACAGGUGAGAACUUUUCAACACACUUUAAAUUAAGGC
rnacentral:lncRNA from 1 species